ACCCGCUGAACUUAAGCAUAUCAAUAAGCGGAGGAAAAGAAACCAACAGGGAUUGCCCUAGUAACGGCGAGUGAAGCGGCAACAGCUCAAAUUUGAAAUCUGGCGUCUUUGGCGUCCGAGUUGUAAUUUGCAGAGGGCGCUUUGGCAUUGGCAGCGGUCCAAGUUCCUUGGAACAGGACGUCACAGAGGGUGAGAAUCCCGUACGUGGUCGCUAGCCUUUACCGUGUAAAGCCCCUUCGACGAGUCGAGUUGUUUGGGAAUGCAGCUCUAAAUGGGAGGUAAAUUUCUUCUAAAGCUAAAUACUGGCCAGAGACCGAUAGCGCACAAGUAGAGUGAUCGAAAGAUGAGAAGCACUUUGGAAAGAGAGUUAAAAAGCACGUGAAAUUGUUGAAAGGGAAGCGCUUGCAGCCAGACUUGCCUGUAGUUGCUCAUCCGGGUUUUUACCCGGUGCACUCUUCUAUAGGCAGGCCAGCAUCAGUUUGGGCGGUUGGAUAAAGGUCUCUGUCAUGUACCUCUCUUCGGGGAGAACUUAUAGGGGAGACGACAUGCAACCAGCCCGGACUGAGGUCCGCGCAUCUGCUAGGAUGCUGGCGUAAUGGCUGU
rnacentral:rRNA from 1 species